CCUCUAAAGCACAAAAUAAUUUACACUUCCAAUUAUGCCCCUCCAAAACUUUUAGCAUUUACCCGGAUCCAUCAUCACCGUCCAUUUCCUUUCACUUAUUCACACGGAUCGUGAUCUGACGGGUGAUAUUGUUUUCACACGGAUCCACCUUUCCCCUUCCUUCUCUCUCUUCUCUCUCAUCUGUCUCACAACUCACAUCUCACCAGAUCUCAUCCGCCCCCAACUCCAUGCUUUCUCUCUCCCAGGCGAUUUCCAGAUCUAGGGUUUCAAUAACCCUGAAUCGUUCAUUUUCUCUCAAUCCGACAGAAGAUCCAGUGGGGUUGACCUCAGAUACGGACGUGAGUUGUGAGGGGACGGGAGUUGUGAGAGGACGGGAUGACGGUAGUAGGCAUCACUCAGGAGCACAAUUCUGAAAGCAGAUGUCUAUUGUUAUGUUAAAGAGGCCAAGCAAAAUCUAUCAAGUUACUUCUGCACAUAAAGCGCAAUGAGGGAGGUAACACUUAUCUUUUGAUAUCCGAAAACUUAUCUUUUAUUAUUUAAGAAAGACAAAGUCAUAAAACUAGAUCGUUUAAUGUGGUUAACUAUAUAGUAGUCAAAAGCGCGCUAGAGUCUAGGUGCAAGCCUAGGCUCUCGGGACGAGGCGAGGCACAACUAAAACGCCUCAAACACACUCAAGUGCUAAAAACGCUUUGCACCAGCCUGAGUGGGUCUGAACCAGCCUUGUGGUUUCUUUAUUUGAGUUGAAUCCACUCUAUAGUCAAUCUCCCUUGCCAUAUUUCAUUAAAACCACAAGACAGUUUAAAAAAAUAUAUUAGAUCUUCUAAUAUAUUUGUAAUGAUCAGUAUUUUACCCAUAGUAAAAGAUGGUUCCAGUCAUUGUCAUUGUGCUGACUAUCACAUUGGUAACUGAACCAUUUAUGAUAAGUAGUAUCCGGAAGUAAGAAGAAUUAACUUCAAUAAGUUAUUGAAACCUUUAACAGGCUUUGGGUGUGGGGUUGUUUAUGUAGGUAAGUUGUGUGCUUGGUUUUAAAAAGCGCGCCUCAUGCGCGCUUAAGCGCGAGUCACAACAAGGCUCACACCUUGGGGCUUUUUCGCUCAGCGCCUAGAGUAAUUACAAGAAGCCCAAAAAAGACGCGCUUUUUUGGGAUUUUUCUGGGCUUUUUUGGCCUGGGUCACGCGCCUCUUGUACUCGAGGCGUUUUAUGCAUCUGAAUGUUGUACCUUGGGUUUUUUGGUUUGUACAUGUAGCUAAAAUCAUACAAAAACCUUACUUAUGGCUAUAUUUUGGGUAGGGAAAGCUAAUGACCUAUGGGAUAUAUAAAAAUGUAUAUAAUUAGCUUGCGGCUUGAGUAUGAAAACCCCGCCACUUUUGCGCUUUGCGCUUCGUGUCUCGGUUUUAGACAUUGUCGCUUUUGGGCGCCUCUCGCCUUAUAAAACCAAGGUUGUGUGGUGUUUCAUUGGUAGGUAAAAUGAAUGUAUGAUGCUAUUUUUCUAAAAAAACAGAGUAUGCAUUCCUUUUUUGGUAGUUUUUAAAGUAAAUUUUGAUUUUAUGUAUAUUUUUUCUCAACGUAUGUUGCUAUUAUUGGUAUUUACUUUCAUUGUGUAAAAAUAUGUUGCUAUUUAAAUUUAAAUUGAUCAUUCUUUUCUUGGAAAUUUGUUUUUAAAAAAUUGUCUGUUAGGUGCCCCUCAUGUUCAACACACAUUAACUGUAAUUUGUAGUUCAGUCAUCUUACCUAAAAAGGUAAAAAAAAUAGAAGUCAAAAGCCCUUCCAACUCAUGAGAUCGGGAGGCAACUGACAGAUUUCUGGAUUCGGGCAUAAACACAUGUUUAGAUGUUGCAGGUAAGGUUUAACACAAAUCAUUUUAAACUGCAGACGCCAAGGUACAGUCAUUGGUUUUAAGUGAACAUGGCCUUUUGUUUCCAAGGUACUAUUUUUUCAUGUUCUCAAACAAUUAUGAAUUUAUUAUUGUAUUUUUAUACCUAUUAUUAUAGAUGACCCGGAUUUUACUUUUGACUAACAAAAGAGUUGAUAGGCAAAUCAUUAGAACCAGCAGCCGUGAGCAAUAGCGCCACCACCUUCAAUAAACGAUAUUCGUUUGGAAUAACGGUUGUGAUUCCAUCAUAGCAACCCAGCACCCGAUAAAUGAUAUCAGUUUGUGUUGCUGAUGGAACCUUUGUCCUCUCUCCUGCUGAACCCAGAGAUUAUCACAAACCUAGGCAGCUCAAAACUUGGAAAUGGUGAUCAACCGGUGUUAAUUGAUUAUGAACGUCUCAAAGUAUAGAUACGAUGUUGUGGUUAUGUUUUAUGUUUCUGAAAUGGAGGGUGAAAGAUUAGGUUUAAAAAACUUAUCGAGUUUCCAUUGGCAAUCUCAUGUACUUAAUUUUCCUAUUAAUGAAAUUUGGUUUUUGCUGGUAAAAAAAAAA